ACUGUCUUUGGAGUUAUUUAGAAGAACAUGAUACCCAAGAAGACCGAGCAGUCUUUGUGCAAACAAUGGACCAGACAGCUGAAGAGAUGCCACAGGAUUUCAGAGAACCACCAAAUGUUUGCAGAUCCUCAAUCUGAGCGAGCCCACCCUUCUGUUUAAUCCAGGUGUUACAGCGGUCCCUCUGUUUGCUUCUUUAUUAGAAUGCCUUUUCCAAUAUUUUAUGCUUCUAUACUACCUUUCAUUGGAGGAAGAGCCCUUCAGUAGAGCCAGAAGAGAAGAAAUUAUCUCAGAUUUACAGGCUGGGAAAACCCAGAGAGAUCUCCUGAUUUGCCUGGGGAUAUGCAAGUCAACAAUAGUGGAAGGCUUGAUAUGUCAAGCAAACUUCAGUGGAGUUAUUCUUGCCUCACACUAAUGGUAACAGGAAAGAGAAGCAAGUUAUUCAUGUUUAAUGUUAUUUUGUGCCAGAUGUUUUGCUGGUAAAAAUCCAUAGCUCCACAGGCACCAAUUUCUUCAGGAUCUGGAAUGUCUGGCCCAAUUUCUUUCUCCAUUCUGGACAGUCUGUGAAGGAAACUGCUUUAUUUUGCAAUAUUGAAUAUUCAUGCUGGGAAGUUAUAAGCAAAAACAAAAUAAUGAGAGACAGGAUCUCUAAUAAGCUUCCUGUCACAUGAGGCUCUGGUUCUCUUGAAUGUGAUUUUAAGAUGUGGUUGCUGACUUGUUUCCAAAAUGUUUGUUGAGUGGUGAUUAGAUUGUGUCAUGCUGAUGUUAUCUCUGUGAUCUCAUUCAAUACAAGUAGUUCUGCAAACAGUGAAAUCUUUUUUCCUAUGGAUUUAUACAUUGGCUUGUGUUUCGGCAUGGAUCCUCUGAUAUUUAAUGGGGAUUGAGUUAAUUUUAGCCUGUUUGUUCAAUGAGAGAUGAAUAAUCUGUCUUCUUUACUUGGCCAUUUACUUUCACAAAACUUGCAGGAAUUAAAUAUCUCAGAGUUGUAAAAUCUGAGUGGGAAUUA